GACGAACGCUGGCGGCGUGCUUAACACAUGCAAGUCGAACGGAAAGGCCCUGCUUUUGUGGGGUGCUCGAGUGGCGAACGGGUGAGUAACACGUGAGUAACCUGCCCUUGACUUUGGGAUAACUUCAGGAAACUGGGGCUAAUACCGGAUAGGAGCUCCUGCUGCAUGGUGGGGGUUGGAAAGUUUCGGCGGUUGGGGAUGGACUCGCGGCUUUUCAGCUUGUUGGUGGGGUAGUGGCUUACCAAGGCUUUGACGGGUAGCCGGCCUGAGAGGGUGACCGGCCACAUUGGGACUGAGAUACGGACCAGACUCCUACGGGAGGCAGCAGUGGGGAAUAUUGCACAAUGGGCGGAAGCCUGAUGCAGCAACGCCGCGUGCGGGAUGACGGCCUUCGGGUUGUAAACCGCUUUCGCCUGUGACGAAGCGUGAGUGACGGUAAUGGGUAAAGAAGCACCGGCUAACUACGUG
rnacentral:rRNA from 1 species